GACGAACGCUGGCGGCGUGGAUUAGGCAUGCAAGUCGAACGGUAGGAUACCUUCGGGUAUCUGAGAGUGGCGAACGGGUGAGUAACACGUAGGUGAUCUACCCUCAAGAUUGGGACAACCCAGGGAAACUUGGGCUAAUACCGGAUGAAAGCAGCAGUGAUGUUGUUUGAAAGGUGGCGUAAGCUGCCGUUUGGGGAUGAGCCUGCGCUCUAUUAGUUAGUUGGCGGGGUAAAGGCCCACCAAGGCGAUGAUAGAUAGGCGGCCUUAACGGGUGGUCGCCCACACUGGGAUUGAGAUACGGCCCAGACUCCUACGGGAGGCAGCAGUCGAGAAUAGUCUACAAUGGCCGAAAGGCUGAUAGUGCGACGCCGCGUGAACGAAGAAGCCCUUCGGGUGUAAAGUUCUUUUAUAUGUGAGCAGUGCUUUCUAUGUGAACAGCAUGGGGAGAGAGAUAUUAGCAUAUGAAUAAGCAACGGGCUAACUCCGUCCAGCAC
rnacentral:rRNA from 1 species